UACGGAGGGGGCUAGCGUUGUUCGGAAUUACUGGGCGUAAAGCGCGCGUAGGCGGCUUUGUAAGUUAGAGGUGAAAGCCCGGAGCUCAACUCCGGAAUUGCCUUUAAGACUGCAUCGCUAGAAUCAUGGAGAGGUGAGUGGAAUUCCGAGUGUAGAGGUGAAAUUCGUAGAUAUUCGGAAGAACACCGGUGGCGAAGGCGGCCAUCUGGACCGGUAUUGACGCUGAGGCGCGAAAGCGUGGGGAGCAAACAGG
rnacentral:rRNA from 1 species